rnacentral:rRNA from 1 species
CCUACGGGGGGCAGCAGUGGGGGAUAUUGCACAAUGGGGGAAACCCUGAUGCAGCGACGCCGCGUGGGUGAAGAAGUAUUUCGGUAUGUAAAGCCCUAUCAGCAGGGAAGAAAGAAGACGGUACCUGACUAAGAAGCCCCGGCUAACUACGUGCCAGCAGCCGCGGUAAUACGUAGGGGGCGAGCGUUAUCCGGAUUCACUGGGUGUAAAGGGAGCGUAGACGGCCGUGCAAGCCAGGAGUGAAAGCCCGGGGCGCAACCCCGGGACUGCUAUUGGAACUGUGAGGCUGGAGUGCGGGAGGGGCAGGCGGAAUUCCUGGUGUAGCGGUGAAAUGCGUAGAUAUCAGGAGGAACACCGGCGGCGAAGGCGGCCUGCUGGACCGCGACUGACGUUGAGGCUCGAAAGCGUGGGGAGCGAACAGGAUUAGAUACCCCUGUAGUC